GAUGAACGCUAGCGGGAGGCUUAACACAUGCAAGUCGAGGGGUAUAAUAGCAAUAUUAGAGACCGGCGGACGGGUGCGUAACGCGUAUGCAACUUGCCUUAUACAGGGGGAUAGCCCGUGGAAACGCGGAUUAAUACUCCAUAGUUCAAAGUUAUCGCAUGGUAACAUUGAUAAAGCUGAGGUGGUAUAAGAUAGGCAUGCGUCUGAUUAGUUUGUUGGUAGGGUAACGGCCUACCAAGGCGACGAUCAGUAGGGGUUCUGAGAGGAACAACCCCCACACUGGUACUGAGACACGGACCAGACUCCUACGGGAGGCUG
rnacentral:rRNA from 1 species